GAGCCAGACUCCUACGGGAGGCAGCAGUGGGGAAUAUUGCACAAUGGGGGAAACCUUGAUGCAGCGACGCCGCGUGAGUGAAGAAGUAUUUCGGUAUGUAAAGCUCUAUCAGCAGGGAAGAAAAUGACGGUACCUGACUAAGAAGCCCCGGCUAACUACGUGCCAGCAGCCGCGGUAAUACGUAGGGGGCAAGCGUUAUCCGGAUUUACUGGGUGUAAAGGGGGCGCAGACGGCAGCGCAAGCCAGGAGUGAAAGCCCGGGGCCCAACCCCGGGACUGCUCUUGGAACUGCGCGGCUGGAGUGCAGGAGGGGCAGGCGGAAUUCCUGGUGUAGCGGUGAAAUGCGUAGAUAUCAGGAGGAACACCGGUGGCGAAGGCGGCCUGCUGGACUGCGACUGACGUUGAGGCCCGAAAGCGUGGGGAGCAAACAGGAUUAGAUACCCGAGUACA
rnacentral:rRNA from 1 species